AAUUUUGUCUGAUUGUGAGAAUACCAUGUCCAGCUCGCAUUGCCAGUAGGUUUUCAAAAUGAAAACCUUUCUGCUAGGCCCAUGCCUAGCUUGCAUUGCUUGUAGAAUUGCUGAUUGAAAUUCUCUCUGCUGAUUCCCGGCAGAUAAUCCUGUUUUGGGACGUUGUUAAUCGG
rnacentral:ncRNA from 1 species